rnacentral:rRNA from 1 species
AAUCAACGCUGGCGGCGUGCCUCAGACAUGCAAGUCGAACGCGAAAGGUUCCUUCGGGGACCGAGUAGGGUGGCGCACGGGUGAGUAACACGUAGGUAAUUUGCCUUUGGGUGGGGAAUAACUCAGGGAAACUUGAGCUAAUACCGCAUAAUGCAGCGGCUCGACAUCGAGACAGUUGUUAAAGCGGGGGAUUCGCAAGAACCUCGCGCCUAAAGAGAAGCCUGCAGCAGAUAGCUAGUUGGUAAGGUAAUGGCUUACCAAGGCGACGAUCUGUAACCGGCCUGAGAGGGCGGUCGGUCACACUGACACUGACAUACGGGUCAGACUCCUACGGGAGGCAGCAGUCGGGAAUUUUGGGCAAUGGGCGAAAGCCUGACCCA